CAGACAAAUGGCAAAUUUUAAUUGAGUGGACAAGUCAGGCACUUUACAAGGUUUUUGAAACAGCCCUGGUGGGAGGAAGCACACAAAAUGCAAGGAGGUAUUGCCCUGACUUCUUAAAAUUUGCUUUCCCCACAGAGCUGAUCAGCAGGACCUGCCUUCUGAGCUGCCACCUCCAGGAACCCCAGCAGGAGCUGUCCUUGGAGCCAUGGGAUCAGCUUGUGGACAAAGCUGCUUUCAUGCUUCCCCACCGACUCAAAAGCUGUCCCUGCUGGUUCCAGAAAUUACACGAAGUAUUUUUGAUUCGUGGAACCCCUAACAAGUUUCCAGGUAGCCCAAGGCUUCCUGGUCCUGCUGAACCAUCAGGGUUUUUUUACAAAGAAAAGGAGGAACAAAGGAUGUGGUCCCUGAUAGCUGUACCAGGGAUUGCCACAUUGCCCUGGCUGGUGUGGCAGGUGCCCAGGAGUGACAAGAAAUUCAGCUCAGUUCAGUUGCAGAUGAAAGAUAUAACUUUGCAUGGAAACCACUGGAUUGAUUCUCUACCUUUGGCUACAGGUAAUUGCUUUACCUCAUGCAAUUAUGUGUGAUAAUUAGGAAUAGAUUGUGUAGGGAAUAGCAAAAAACCAUGAGUACAUCCUCUGCGUUUGUGGUCCGCUCCUUUAAGAGCGAUUAUGAUUUUUUUAACAGUUUCUUUUUUUUAGCCCAACCUGUCUCCUUCUUUCUGUUUAAUUGAUCAAGCAUAAGAAGGGAAAAUAAAAGUGUAUUUUCAGCACAUUACAGAGUUCUGUUCAUUUUUAGGCACGCUUUCUAGUACAAGCCCUUAUUGGAACUGCAGUGGAAAAGCAGAAGGAUUUAAGGACUCUAAAAUUCUCAUUUCCUUCAAGUCUGAUACAGUGAUGGAUGACAGCUAAGGACACCAGGCAGACCUCAGAAAUAGAUGCAGCUAAUUCAUGACAAACACAUUUUGGUUGGCUCAGACUAUAUUAAAGUAAUUACCUUGUGCUCUCUUUUUAAUAUUGGUUUGUUUGUUUACAUAAGUGAUUUUUUGAAAAGUGAGAAGUGGAAAGGUAGAGGACAGUUCAAUAAAGGUUUGUAAAAGUUUCACUUCUUCAUCACUUGAGAAGUGCUAUCAUGCUGCUAUUCUUAAUGAAAGGUCAGUCAAUUAAAUUGUCCCUGGGAUUCCAUUAAUUACAUUCAGAGAUGGAAACUUGUUGUUACAGACUAAUAAACUAGCAGAUGGCUUUAAGGAAGUGGGUAAGGUGGCAGUUUUAAAUAGAAACCUACUUGCUUAAAAAUAGAAAAGACAGUAGAUUUGAGCGAGAUGUUCUGUAAGCAGCAUGUCACUUCUCCACUGCAGGCCAAGAGACAUGGUUUUAAGCUGUGUUAGAAGCCUUGAGUUCAUUGUCACUGUUUAUCCUCUAAGCCUCUGACUGAAGGGCCUGUAGCUGGAGAUUUCUUACUGAGAAAUCUUUUAGUCUCAAACUUGGCCUGUGAUAACUUGGGUGAUUUUUCUUGAUGCUUGCAAAGCCAUUUAUCUGGGGAUGUAAUUGAAAUCCGGAGACGCCACAGAACGCCGUGGCUGUGACUGAGACCCAGUCUUGAAAUGUUAAAUAAGUUAAGACGCUUAAUGGUUUACACCCUUAAUGUUGACCCAUUUUAUAAUUAUUUUGAUGUUUUCCUUUACUUGUUUUGGGUUCAUUGUUAUGGUGAUAAUAACUUGCCUUCCUUAUCAGUCCUGCAGUUGUUUUAUGGUACAGCAGAAGUAAUAUUCCAGUAUUCCAGAUAUGUUCACAAAUAAUGCAAACUUGAAUUGUUUAAGGCAUUUGUGCAUAUUACCAUGUACAAAAGAAAAUAGAACACAUGAACCUUAACAGCAUCCUGCAGGUUCUGUGCCCUCCCCGGGAGCAGUUCUUGCUCUGGGUGCCCUUCUGGGCCCAGUUCAUGCAGCACAGAGGCUGCAGUUCAGGCUGUGCUGGCCAUGAGGGGCACACCCCACAGGGAAGGCAGUGGCUGCCAGGUGAGGUUUCCUGCUGGAGAACAGCCAGGCUGGCUCAGCUGUGCACAGGGGACGCUCCAACACCUACACUCCAGUGCCGGUCUCUUAUAUUUGAUAAUACUUCUCCUCACUUGAAACAGGAGAUCAGUUGUGCUCUGGAGAGAACCCAGGCUGAUUCAGCAGUUGACAGGCCAGCACCUGAUGCAAGAAAAGGGCAGAGUCACACUGUCACUGCUGCCUGGUGCUGUGCUGCUGGCUUGGCAAUGGUGUGAUGCUGCCUUUCCAUUUGUUUGCCUCUGAGAAAAUCAAUAGACUAGUUAUGUCAGGAGCCCUGAAGAACAUCAAGAGCCUUGUGCCUAACCUAAAUAUUAGAAGAGGAUCCUUUACUCUCCUGACUGCAGACCUGUCCUACCAGUCCUGCAGACUGACUGGGGGUGGGGGGGCACAGUCACAUUUUGCACAUAAAUGGAAAGAACAAACCCCAGCUUUCUUUAACUUCUGCCUUUAAAUGGAAGAUUUUAGUGUCAAGCUUUACCUGGUUUUAUCAGCUGUAAGACUUUGUAAUCACUUUUCUUCAGCUGCAUCCUGGCUUUAGGUUUCUUCUCUGUGACAAGAGCUGCCCAGUGGGCUGGAGGAGAGGUGGUAACACAGUGUUUGUGGCACAGGGCCGUCCUUGGGGAAGUGUGCAGCUAAACAACCUGAAAAAAGGGCAGGGCAGAGCACGGUCUGGGUAGCAGGAUGAUCUGGUGGAUUGAGAGGGACAGAAGGGGAUUUCUGCCCUGUUCUGGCCAUUUCCUUGCGCUAAGGCUACGUGUGAUACAUGUUCAGUGUUACUAGAAGAGUUAGCAUUUGCCUUACAGCUUUAGUCAGAGAAGACUCUGGUGGGCUGUCUCCUAGUUUGCAUGUUGAGUGUGAGUUGUUUGGGUCUGGCUGUAAACACUCCCAUGUCCAUAAACUCAGGACCAUCUUGCCUCAGUUUGAACUCCUGAAAGUAGAGGCUUCGGUGGAAAUGCAGCCCCUUAUCUCUGUGUGAAAUAAAACCUGCAAUACCCAUGUAACUUUUACCCACAGGAUGGGAUGCUGAGAGCACCAAACAGCUCCAAAUAUUGAACAAUGUAAGUCAGCACUAUGAGCAAUUCUUGCCGUGAGUCAAUGUUGAAUCCUUGCCAAAGAUGCCUUUUACAAAUAAAAUUUAGCACUAAUUUAUCAAUGGGUUAGUUCAAAACAUGAUGUAAAGCACUCAGUACAUAAUGAACCCGUCUGGAUCGA